UACGGAGGAUGCAAGCGUUAUCCGGAAUCAUUGGGCGUAAAGAGUCUGUAGGUGGCAUAUCAAGUCUGCUGUCAAAGACCGAAGCUCAACUUCGGGCCGGCGGUGGAAACUGAAAAGCUAGAGUAUAGUAGGGGUAGAGGGAAUUCCUAGUGUAGCGGUGAAAUGCGUAGAGAUUAGGAAGAACACCAGUGGCGAAGGCGCUCUACUGGGCAUAUACUGACACUGAGAGACGAAAGCUAGGGGAGCGAAAGGG
rnacentral:rRNA from 1 species